AUCGACAAGGGUGGAGGGGUGAGCGUGCGACGACGCCAGGGAGGGUGGAGGGGCGGGCUGCGGUCGGGCCAAGAGCGUGGUGACUGGCAAGCCGCAGAGAUCGGAGAUAGUGCUGCCGGAGCAUGAUCCCACCAGAUAUUGGUCCGAGCGGUGAGAAGAAAAGAAGAAGAAGGCACGGCCACAGCGAGGUCCAUCGCUCGUUUUGCUUAAUAAUUUUUUUAACUGAUUGUAUCAAAAUAAAUCAAUUUUUUAUUUAA